GAUGAAGAACGUAGCGAAAUGCGAUAAGUAAUGUGAAUUGCAGAAUUCAGUGAAUCAUCGAAUCUUUGAACGCGCAUUGCGGCCGGCAGUACUCUGCCGGGCAUGCCUGUUCGAGCGUCAUUUCAACCCUCAAGCCCUGCUUGGUGUUGGGGUCCCACGGCCGCCGUGGGCCCUGAAAGGAAGUGGCGGGCUCGCUACAACUCCGAGCGUAGUAAUUCAUUAUCUCGCUUAGGGCGUUGGGCGGCGCUCCUGCCGUUAAAGAACCAUCUUUAACUCAAGGUUGACCUCGGAUCAGGUAGGAAUACCCGCUGAACUUAAGCAUAUCAAUAAGCGGAGGA
rnacentral:misc_RNA from 1 species